CACCCAGGUCCCCGAGACAGCCCUGAGGGAGCCCCAUGUGUUUUCUUUAUAUGAUCAGGCCUCUCAUAGCUGCUGCUGGGUUGGAGCCUGAGAGGAUUGUGAAAAUGGGGCAGCGUUACCAGCUGUUCUGGAA